rnacentral:lncRNA from 1 species
GUUAUUUAUCUGAUGGUCUGAAGUCAAGACCUAGGUCGGAGGUCGUCUAUAAUUACCCUUUUUUGUUUUCUUCUUCCUUUGACAUGGAUCGCGCUGUAGCAUAGGUUACUUCCCCCAGCUUUACAGAGAGUGAACAUAACUCAAUCCCACACAAACAAGUUCUCAUUAAAAUUGAUUCAUUAUACAUUUUCCCAAAGGAAUGUACUUUUGGAGAAGUGAUGCUGCUCUUGGAAAUCUCGAGGUUGCCUUGUCCUGAGUAAAUUGGUCACAUGAGAUACAGAAGACAGAAGGACUCCUCUCACCCUGUACAGAGGCUGCAGUAGGAGAUCUAAAACCUCUACUAUCCCUGUGGGAAUAUGUGCAACCAUCCACCUCUCCAGGACGAAGGAUGUCAGAACUGAUACAAAGUCUGGAACAAUGCCAACCCCAGAGAGAGGCUGCCUAGAAUGUCUUUUACCUUGUUGUUUUUUAUUAUCACGAGACACAAACAAACAAACUGUUAUCAGAGAUGUUUGUUUGGAUGAAAGGGAGAAACCCCUAGAGGGCUUUCCUUCUGACCAGGUUCUUCUCUACACUAUGAGCUGAUUGACCC